rnacentral:rRNA from 1 species
GUCCAGACUCCUACGGGAGGCAGCAGUGGGGAAUAUUGGACAAUGGGGGAAACCCUGAUCCAGCGACGCCGCGUGAGUGAAGAAGUAUUUCGGUACGUAAAGCUCUAUCAGCAGGAAAGAAAAUGACGGUACCUGACUAAGAAGCCCCGGCUAACUACGUGCCAGCAGCCGCGGUAAUACGUAGGGGGCAAGCGUUAUCCGGAUUUACUGGGUGUAAAGGGGGCGCAGACGGCAGCGCAAGCCAGGAGUGAAAGCCCGGGGCCCAACCCCGGGACUGCUCUUGGAACUGCGCGGCUGGAGUGCAGGAGGGGCAGGCGGAAUUCCUGGUGUAGCGGUGAAAUGCGUAGAUAUCAGGAGGAACACCGGUGGCGAAGGCGGCCUGCUGGACUGCGACUGACGUUGAGGCCCGAAAGCGUGGGGAGCAAACAGGAUUAGAUACCCCCGUA